AGCAAGGUGGCUGAAUUUAGGUGUUAGACUGUAAAUCUAAUUAUGAAUUAAAAUUCUCUUGUUA
rnacentral:tRNA from 1 species